rnacentral:rRNA from 1 species
GACGAACGCUGGCGGCGUGCUUAACAUAUGCAAGUCGAACGGUAAGGCCCUUCGGGGUACACGAGUGGCGAACGGGUGAGUAACACGUGGGUGAUCUGCCCUGCACUUCGGGAUAAGCCUGGGAAACUGGGUCUAAUACCGGAUAGGACCACUGCCUGCAUGGGUGGUGGGGGAAAGCUUUUGCGGUGUGGGAUGGGCCCGCGGCCUAUCAGCUUGUUGGUGGGGGGAUGGCCUACCAAGGCGACGACGGGUAGCCGGCCUGAGAGGGUGACCGGCCACACUGGGACUGAGAUAAGGCCCAGACUCCUACGGGAGGCAGCAGUGGGGAAUAUUGCACAAUGGGCGCAAGCCUGAUGCAGCGACGCCGCGUGAGGGAUGACGGCCUUCGGGUUGUAAACCUCUUUCAGCACCGACGAAGCGCAAGUGACGGUAGGUGCAGAAGAAGGACCGGCCAACUACGUGCCAGCCGCCGCCGUAA